CGAUAACUCACAUAGCAGGGUUAUUUGUUUUCGUAUUUUCAUCACCAGAGGAAAUAACAGGAGACUUGGGAAAAGGCGUUUCUCUUGCACGUUUUUGAGCUCCGUCUAAAACUUGCCCACUGUCCCCCUCUAGUGGUCAAGCUCAUAGCCUGGGGAUAAUACCAUGCCUGGAUGCUGCUUCAAAGCAUUUAAACCAAUUGAGCUCCGGUGGGAUACUGGAUGUCAAAGCCCACUGCCAGCCAAUUGCUGUUGACAGACUGAAUGAAGUAAUCUCCUUGUGGCCAGGAUUUAUCAUGUGCUUGGAUGCUAUUCAUGACAGGCAUUGAAGAACCUGAUUUGCAGGUGCCGCUUAAUCCAGCAUGAGGUCUUAACUUUGUAUUCAGUAACCUGUUUUCAUUUAUGAUGAAAUUAUCUCAAAGACGAAACCAGAAGAAUAAACCUAGCAUUAUAUAAUGUGAUGUUUGGAGUUGGUCAGUUUUUCCACUAUACAGUAUAUAGUAUCAGACCUAGGACUUAAAAUGUACUUAAAAAUAAUCUGGUUUAAUUCGGUCUAUGAUGAUCAAUCAGAUGAACAGAAGCACAUUUCAAUACUAUCUGCACCAAUGUGACUUUCACAAAAAUUCCAGAAAAAAAUUGAACAUUUUGUGUGUGCACAGGGAACCUUGUUUAAAUGCUUAAAAAACUCAAAAUUAGUCCACUGCAGAAUGCUGUUUACUUGGAUACUGCAAACCAGACAUUUUACACAAUACAGUAAUUGAAUACUCAAGGACAGAAAACAAUCAGGUUGUCUUGUACUGUAUAUCUUUUAUCUGUUUAAAUGUUUAAAUAUAUGACAUCAGUACUUCUUUUGUUUUACUGCGUGUUUAACUCUAAAAAACCUCCUUCAGCGGUAGAGUCUUUUGUGCCCUGCCAGCAGGAACUUCCCCUAUAAUGAAUGAAUAUCUGUUUAAUAUUAGUUUAUCACUGUAAACAAACUUUAUUUUCUGCUUGAGCUAAACAAAGGCCAAAAAAUGUGUUUAUUUCUUAGAAAUAAUAAAUAUUAAUAUAAUGACAUAUCAAAAUAUAACACACCCACAUGCAUGCUUUUUUAUUUUUCAACACUUUAUUGAGCUCAUGUGAGCUUUUUUGGACAGGAAGAAUUAUUGUUCCUUUUCAUGAUACUUUACUAUCUACAAAUAUUUAUGAGGUGCCGUUUCGGCCAUUAUUCAAACUUUAUCUCUCAUAAACGCUCAAAUUGCUCUCACCCUCUCCAUUUUACCUCUCACAUACACAUAAAAUGCUCUCACACUCUCCAUUUUACCUCUCGCAUACACAUAAAACAA